rnacentral:rRNA from 1 species
GCUUGUCUCAAAGAUUAAGCCAUGCAUGUCUCAGUACAAGCCAAAUUAAGGUGAAACCGCGAAAGGCUCAUUAAAUCAGUUAUGGUUCCUUAGAUCGUACCCACAAUUACUUGGAUAACUGUGGUAAUUCUAGAGCUAAUACAUGCAAACAGAGCUCCGACCUGAGACGGAAGGAGUGCUUUUAUUAGAUCAAAACCAAUCGGUGGCGGGCUCGUCAUCGUACAACUUGGUGACUCUGAAUAACUUUACGCUGAUCGCACGGUCAUCGCACCGGCGACGCAUCUUUCAAAUGUCUGCCUUAUCAACUGUCGAUGGUAGGUUCUGCGCCUACCAUGGUCGUAACGGGUAACGGGGAAUCAGGGUUCGAUUCCGGAGAGGGAGCCUGAGAAACGGCUACCACAUCCAAGGAAGGCAGCAGGCGCGCAAAUUACCCACUCCCGGCACGGGGAGGUAGUGACGAAAAAUAACGAUACGGGACUCAUCCGAGGCCCCGUAAUCGGAAUGAGUACACUCUAAACCCUUUAACGAGGAUCAAUUGGAGGGCAAGUCUGGUGCCAGCAGCCGCGGUA